rnacentral:rRNA from 1 species
UCAAUUAUUUAUAGCCUCUGGCUAUAGGAAAUUGUUAGUGGCAGACGGGUGAGUAAUGCGUAGGAAUCUACCUAGUAGUACGGAAUAGCCAUUAGAAAUGGUGGGUAAUACUGUAUAAUCCCCGAGGGGGAAAGAUUUAUCGCUAUUAGAUGAGCCUACGUUAGAUUAGCUAGUUGGUGAGGUAAUGGCUUACCAAGGCUAUGAUCUAUAGCUGGUCUGAGAGGACGAUCAGCCACACUGGAACUGAGAUACGGUCCAGACUCCUACGGGAGGCAGCAGUGGGGAAUAUUGGACAAUGGGCGAAAGCCUGAUCCAGCUAUGCCGCGUGAGUGAAGAAGGCCUUCGGGUUGUAAAACUCUUUCAAUAGGGAAGAUAA